rnacentral:rRNA from 1 species
CCAAUACGGGAGGCAGCAGUGGGGAAUAUUGCACAAUGGACGGAAGUCUGAUGCAGCAACGCCGCGUGCGGGAUGACGGCCUUCGGGUUGUAAACCGCUUUCAUCCAUGACGAAGCUUUUGUGACGGUAGUGGGUAAAGAAGCACCGGCUAACUACGUGCCAGCAGCCGCGGUAAUUUGG